UCCGUAGGCGGGCGAUUAAGUCAGAGGUGAAAUCCCACAGCUUAACUGUGGAACUGCCUUUGAUACUGGUUGUCUUGAGUUACAGUGAAGUAGAUAGAAUAUGUAGUGUAGCGGUGAAAUGCAUAGAUAUUACAUAGAAUACCGAUUGCGAAGGCAGUCUACUAACUGUAUACUGACGCUAAUGGACGAAAGCGUGGGGAGCGAACA
rnacentral:rRNA from 1 species